AGCAGAUAAAACAAGGCUUACUUUAGUGAUGUGUAUUCUAUUCACGCCCUGAUUGUGCAUGGGGCACAUAGGGUGGACGCUGAGGUAAUGGGCUGGAAUCUUUGGUAGGCGUGAAACAACUGAUCUUUGAAUCAUUCCUCUCCACAGUGCUCCUGUGCCGGGGCAAAGCUUUCAGCGAUUUCACCGGACCAGACUGUCGGUUUCUGUCAUUUAAAAAAGGAGAGACUAUAUAUGUCUACUAUAAACUCUCAGGCCAAAGGACAAAUAUAUGUGCAGGGAGUGACCAACUCGUAAUCAAUCACAUAUACACUGAAAAAGAAUUGGAGAUUCCUGCUGAGGAAACCGACAUUGUUUGCUUUGACACUGGACACGAUAAGUUUGACAGUUAUGCCAUUGAUUCACUGUUAGGUUCCUCUUUAUU